CAAAGUCGGUGGGGUAACCUUUUAGGAACCAGCCGCCUAAGGUGGGACAGAUGAUUAGGGUGAAGUCGUAACAAGGUAGCCGUAGGAGAACCUGCGGCUGGAUCACCUCCUUU
rnacentral:rRNA from 1 species